GAAAUGCGAUAAUUAAUGUGAAUUGCAGAAUUCAGUGAAUCAUCGAGUCUUUGAACGCACAUUGCGCCCCCUGGUAUUCCGGGGGGCAUGCCUGUCCGAGCGUCAUUGCUGCCCUCAAGCACGGCUUGUGUGUUGGGCUUCCGUCCCUGGCAACGGGGACGGGCCCAAAAGGCAGUGGCGGCACCAUGUCUGGUCCUCGAGCGUAUGGGGCUUUGUCACCCGCUCCCGUAGGUCCAGCUGGCAGCUAGCCUCGCAACCAAUUUUUUUAACCAGGUUGACCUCGGAUCAGGUAGGGAUACCCGCUGAACUUAAGC
rnacentral:misc_RNA from 1 species